rnacentral:lncRNA from 1 species
CACAGAGGUGUGUGGGGUUCUGGUCGAUCGAACAGGAGGGGAGCAAGGGGGAAAGCCCUAGUUUUGUCAAUUCCACAUAAUUCCAUAGAAAUUUCAAGGAAAUCAAAGGCAUAAUCAGCAAAUUACAAGCUCCCAAACUUGUUCUUUGAAGGGGCGUGAAGGAAGAAGAUACAAGCACUAGGAAAACGGAAGGCACGCAAGAUCGAGGUAAAACCUCAAUCUAAGCGAUUGGACGACUUAGAACGAGCGCACUUAAUCUACGCCCACUUCACGCUUCUGUCAUAAGUCAUUUUAAUGCGGUCUUAAUUUUUGGUCUUAUGUACUUCAACUUAUGUAGUCUUUUGAUGUCCUUGUGGUGUUAG